UAAUGAAGGUUGAUUUGACUGCCCUCCUUACUUCCUGCGCCUUUCACAGCAUUAUAAAGGUGGCAGAUUGCUAAUCAAGAAUCCUUGAUGCUUUGUCCAAACUCAGAGUUUCUUCCACAUUGCAAAACAUACUUCAUGGAAGUCUAAGUCUGUAUAAUAUGCCUGGCGAAAAAGUUAAGAACGGCUGCCUCAAUAUAUUUUUCUGCAUUUCCCUUAUCUACAGGCUAAUGUUCUUGACUGAAUUUGAUGGACCCCAACGUUUAAGAGCCUCAGUGCUGAAGUACUGCAAAAAGCACAGAACAGCAUAUUUAGUUUUGAGCAAAUCGUUUGUUACCAACGGAUUACACCAGACACAGUCUAGAUGACGGCAGUGAUCAGGUACAGC